rnacentral:rRNA from 1 species
GAUUAACGCUAGCGGCAGGCAUAAUACAUGCAAGUUGAACGGCAGCACAGGUAGCAAUACUGGGGGCGAGGGGCGGACCGGGGCGGAACACGGAUGGAAACUUCCCCAUUCAGGGGAAUUAACUUUAGAAAUGAGGGGCAAUAAGCCGUAGUUAUACAGAUGGGCCUUCUUUUUUUAUUAAAGAUUUAUCGGGUUAGGAUGGGCAUGCGUCCCAUUAGUUAGUUGGUAAGGUAAAGGCUUACCAAGACGAUGAUGGGUAGGGGAUCUGAGAGGACUUACCCCCACACUGGUACUGAGACACGGACCAGACUCCUACGGGAGGCAGCAGUAAGGAAUAUUGGGCAAUGGCCGCGAGGCUGACCCAGCCAUGCCGCGUGCAGGAAGACGGCCUUAUGGGUUGUAAACUGCUUUUAUACGGGAAUAAUAGAGUGUACGCGUACAUUUAUGCAAGUAUCGUAUGAAUAAGCAUCGGCUAACUCCGUG